GACGAACGCUGGCGGCGUGCCUAACACAUGCAAGUCGAACGGGGAAGUUAGCAAUAACUUUCUAGUGGCGAACGGGUGAGUAACGCGUAGACAACCAACCUUUUUGUGGGGGACAACACUUCGAAAGGAGUGCUAAUACCGCAUGAGCUCCAGAUGCCGCCUGGCGUUUGGAGGAAAGGAGCUUCACGGCUUCGCAGAAAGACGGGUCUGCAUCUGAUUAGCUAGUUGGAGGGGUAACGGCCCACCAAGGCGACGAUCAGUAGCCGGUCUGAGAGGAUGGACGGCCACACUGGGACUGAGACACGGCCCAGACUCCUACGGGAGGCAGCAGUGGGGAAUCUUCCGCAAUGGACGAAAGUCUGACGGAGCGACGCCGCGUGAGUGAUGAAGGCCCUUGGGUCGUAAAGCUCUGUCAUCAGGGACGAACGGUCACGUCAGGAAAUGGGCGUGAAUUGACGGUACCUGAGAAGGAAGCCACGGCUAACUACGUGCCAGCAGCCGCGG
rnacentral:rRNA from 1 species